rnacentral:rRNA from 1 species
GAUGAACGCUGGCGGCGUGCCUAAUACAUGCAAGUCGAGCGAACAGACGAGGAGCUUGCUCCUCUGACGUUAGCGGCGGACGGGUGAGUAACACGUGGAUAACCUACCUAUAAGACUGGGAUAACUUCGGGAAGCCGGAGCUAAUACCGGAUAAUAUAUUGAACCGCAUGGUUCAAUAGUGAAAGACGGUUUUGCUGUCACUUAUCGAUGGAUCCGCGCCGCAUUAGCUAGUUGGUAAGGUAACGGCUUACCAAGGCAACGAUGCGUAGCCGACCUGAGAGGGUGAUCGGCCACACUGGAACUGAGACACGGUCCAGACUCCUACGGGAGGCAGCAGUAGGGAAUCUUCCGCAAUGGGCGAAAGCCUGACGGAGCAACGUCGCGUGAGUGAUGAAGGUCUUCGGAUCGUAAAACUCUGUUAUUAGGGAAGAACAAAUGUGUAAGUAACUAUGCACGUCUUGACGGUACCUAAUCAGAAAGCCACGGCUAACUACGUG